UCCCCAGGCCUCAGCUCUUCAGCGC
rnacentral:piRNA from 1 species